rnacentral:rRNA from 1 species
CCUGGGGCAAAGCCGCGAACGGGUGAGUAACACGUGGGUAACCUGCCCCGAAGACCGGGACAACCCGAGGAAACUCGGGCUAAUACCGGAUGUGCCCGCAAGGGGAAAGGAAGCUUCGGCCUCCGCAUCGAGAUGGGCCCGCGGCCCAUUAGCUUGUUGGUGAGGUAACGGCUCACCAAGGCUUCGAUGGGUAGCUGGUCUGAGAGGACGAUCAGCCACACUGGGACUGAGACACGGCCCAG